GGCCCUACGGGAGGCAGCAGUGGGGAAUCUCCCGCAAUGGGCGAAAGCCUGACGGAGCAACGCCGCGUGAUCGAAUGAAGGCCUUCGGGUUGUAAAGAUCUGUUGACAGGGACGAAUAAGCAAUGCGAAUAGUUUUGUGUAUGACGGUACCUGUUUAGAAAGCUCCGGCUAACUACGUGCCAGCAGCCGCGGUAAUACGUAGGGAGCAAGCGUUGUCCGGAUUUAUUGGGCGUAAAGCGAGUGCAGGCGGUUCAAUAAGUCUGAUGGGAAAGCCUUCGGCUCAACCGGAGAAUUGCAUAAGAAAA
rnacentral:rRNA from 1 species